UACGUAGGGACCGAGCGUUGUCCGGAAUCAUUGGGCGUAAAGCGCGUGUAGGCGGCUUUGCAAGUCGGGUGUGAAAGCCCUCAGCUCAACUGAGGAAGUGCGCCCGAAACUGCAGAGCUUGAGUGCCGGAGAGGGUGGCGGAAUUCCCCAAGUAGAGGUGAAAUUCGUAGAUAUGGGGAGGAACACCGGUGGCGAAGGCGGCCACCUGGACGGUAACUGACGCUGAGACGCGAAAGCGUGAGGAGCAAACAGG
rnacentral:rRNA from 1 species